UUCUUUCCAAUUCCAUUCUGUGAUGGCAAUAAAUCUUUUCUGGAUUGACCCUUUGUGACACCUCUACCUCUUCCUACACCGGGAAUACUAUCCCGACCUACUGAUCUAUUCAUUGCAUGGCCUGAUCCACCAUAACCCCCUCGAUGAGGGAUUCCAGGGUCCUCACCUUCCCAUUGUAUAUCCUCAGGAGAGAUCUCUGCCCCAUCCCCAUGUCUCAUUUGCGGAGCCAAUAUCAUACACCAAAGCAUGCCG
rnacentral:misc_RNA from 1 species